rnacentral:tRNA from 1 species
GUUUCCAUGGGAAAGUUGGUUAAUCCGUCCGCCUGACACGCGGGAGAUCCCCAGUUCGAGCCUGGGUGGAAACA